CAGUCGCCGCGGGAAUACGUAGGGUGCAAGCGUUAAUCGGAAUUACUGGGCGUAAAGCGUGCGCAGGCGGUUUUGUAAGACAGAGGUGAAAUCCCCGGGCUCAACCUGGGAACUGCCUUUGUGACUGCAAGGCUAGAGUACGGCAGAGGGGGAUGGAAUUCCGCGUGUAGCAGUGAAAUGCGUAGAUAUGCGGAGGAACACCGAUGGCGAAGGCAAUCCCCUGGGCCUGUACUGACGCUCAUGCACGAAAGCGUGGGGAGCAAACAGGAUUAGAUACCCCAGUAGUCCCUGUCUCUUAUAA
rnacentral:rRNA from 1 species